CUGCCACGAAGUGCGGACGGCGUUCCAGCUGCGGCAGAUCGGGCCACUCAAGCUGGUCCCCGACGUGCCCACGGCCGAGUCAGAUUUACAGAUCUGUCAACACAGGGCACCAACAUGUUGCACCAAAAAAAUGGAAGAAAGCUACCAGGCAGCUGUCCGAAGGGAGAGGACUCAGAGCAUCCAGGCACUGAACUUUGAGCUGAAGUACAUGAUAGUUGGUCACAUCACAGCUUUUCAAGAGGCGUUUGAGUCUUUGCUUCGCUUUGCUGAAAACCGCACGAGUUCCCUGUUUGAGACAGCUUACAGACCUAUGGCAAAAGAAGCAGCAGAGCCUGUUAAGGAGCUUUUUACAGACAUCUCUCUCUACAUUCUGGGCGCAGAGACCACAGUGGAAAGUGCAGUACUGCGGUUCUUUGACAGUCUCUUUCCUCUGGUGUACAGCCGGCUAAUAAACCCAGGAAUUACAGAUCUGUCAGAGGACUAUACGGAGUGUCUGCGGCUUACAAGGCAAGACAUAAAUCCUUUUGGACACUAUUCUAAAAACAUGGUUACAGAGCUGUCAAAAUCUCUUUGGGCCAGCAGGAUGCUGAGCCAGGCCCUGAGCCUGGGCAUUGAAGUGAUAAAUACUACUGAGCACGCCGCUGUGAGCAAGGAGUGCAGCAGAGCCCUGGUGAAGAUGCAGUACUGCCCGCACUGCCAGGGCCUGACGCUCAUCAGGCCCUGUGUGGGAUAUUGUCUCAAUGUCAUGAGGGGCUGCCUGGCCAGCGUGGCAGAGCUGGAUGCACAGUGGAGGGAGUUCAUCUCCACGCUGGAAUAUCUGACUAAUGAAAUGGCAGCCUCCCACGAGCUGGAGAUUGCUCUGUCGGGGAUCUGGAGCUCCGUCAACGAGGCCAUCCUGCACGCGCAGCUGAACGGGCCGCAGCUCUCUGCUACGGUUGAUAAAGUGUGUGGCCAGCCCAAGCAGCAAGAAGGGAACCUGUCAUCAGCCAAUAUUGUACCAGUGAAGGAAGUGACUGAAACCCAGACAUUUGUGAUGGCUCACACCAGCCUGAACAAUAAAAGAAGUUCUCUGCCUCUGAAAGCUUCAAAGAAUGACAAAUCAAGAAGUUUGAAAAAAAUCUCUCGAGAGUUCAUCAAUUACAUGAAGCGAUCCCGAACCUUUUAUGCCUCUGUAGCAGAAAGGCUUUGUGAUGGAGACCUGGUGAUGAGAGACAGCUCAACCUGCUGGAAUGGAGAGGAUGUUGUAGAAAGUUAUACCAGCAGAGUUGUUUCCAACGGACUAAAGGCACAAAUUAAUAAUCCAGAACUGAAAGUCAAAGGAUUGGACCCACUCAUCAACAAUUUAAUUGAUAAACUUAAGCACUUCAAUCAACUGGAUGCUGAGAAGGCAAAGUCGAAGCUGGAGCGAUGGGGUCCCCGAGACGCUGGCAGUGGGGAUGGAAGGAGUGAGGAGAUGGAGUCAAGUGGAGAUUGUGAUGAUGAGGAUGGCUGCCAAGGAUCCGGGGACAGGAUGCACACAGCAGAUGUACUCAAGGACAAGAAAACCCAUCCAGAAAACAGAAACGAACUAAAACCAACCGUGAAAAAGAUUGACACCACAACCACCACAAGCAUUGUCAAGUCAUCCUCCAAACACAGUGUAACUGGAAAUGGGAGCAGCCCAGCCCUGAGUCCCUCCCUCGCUGUUCUGGCAGCACUGGCAGCUCUGUGGCUCUGUCCCCUGUAGCUGCAUUGCCCUGCAGAUGCUGUGCUAGUGCUCCUGUUCACUGUCAUUGAUACCUGCAGCCUUACCCGGCGGGAAACAAAUGGAAAUGGCUCUCUAGUUGAUGUGAUUUGUUAGGAUAAAUAAGAAGUGAAAUGCUGGAGUUGGCAGAUACCAAGUGUCAUCACUUAAAAUGUCUGAAGAUAGCCUUUGGCAAAGCCCACCCAAGGUACAGCGAGGAUGAUCACAAGGGUCUGAGUAGCUUAAGUUAUGGGGUAGAAAUAACUGAAAACACAGAAAUUGUGUAUGUGUGCGUUACUGUUUUUAUCGAUUUCGUUCGCUAGACUCUGACUGGCUGUUUUUUGUUUAAUUUUUCUGGUAAGUUAUAUGAGCGGUCAGUCUUCAAAUUCAAGGCAAUCCAAACUUUGUUUUUUUAGUGAACAGCUAACAAGCUGUGCUACAGUUCAUAGAAUCCCAGAAUGUUGUGGGGCUGGGAUGGACCUUAAAGAUCAGCGAGUGCCAGCCCCGGUACCAGGUUGCUCCCUGUAUGGUGAAGAGCUCUCUACCAGCUUGGUGAAAUUCCUGAAUGGUCAAGAAGAUCAAAGCAUGUUUGAAACUUCUGUUCACUCUUACUGUUUAGAUUGUAGGAAGCGACAUAAAAACAUAUGGUGUGUCUAAUAUAUCAGUAUAGUUGCCUUAACUGUGGAAAAAAUAGAACCACUUUGUUUACUGAGGGACAUAGAUAGUGAGUUUCCCUGCCCCACAAAAUGUCAUUACCAGAUGCUUAAGCAUAUGCUCAAGGCUUAUUGGAUGAAUGUCCAGCAAAGGGAAACAUAAAUAAACAUAAAAAUGUUUUAUCCACUUGAAUGCAGCUCUGUACAGAAAAGGAAAAAAAAAAAAUUCAGUUCAAACUUACUUUGCCUAUGAGAUGUUACAUAGAAACCAACUUAAGUUUUCCAUAAAGAUCCCAGAGAUAUAAAUUAUUGGGAACUCCCAUUAGACACUAACUAGAUUUUGUGUAUUAUGGAUCUCUGAAAUCAACUGUUUCAUAAACUGUGUAUUAUUUAAUUACAUUUACUGUUUAAAUUUUUUGUAUCACAUUAGGUGUAAAUGUAAAACAUUCUGAAAUCUAGAACAUUCUCUGUUAUGCUUCAUCUUGAUUGCUACCCUAGAAAAUGUCAAAUGUGCAUUAUAUUACAAGGCUAUUUUUUUUAAGUCAAUGAUACAUUGAUGCAUUUUAACUUUUUGGAUGAAAAAGUACUAUAAUAACUUCCAAUGGGUUAAGAGUUGAUGUGUGUUUUCCAACAACUGUUUACAGUGCCAUUGAAUAUAUGUAUACAAACACAACUGUAUUAAUACAGUGAUUAAUAUGAUAAAUAUAUGAAACAUUAGAAUUAUUACAUAACUGUUACAACAUUUAAUGGCCAUUUUCAUGUUGUAGACUAUUCUUAUGUACAGUUUUGUAAGAUUUAAUGUAAAACACUUGCCUUUGGCUUUUUGUAAGACAUCUCUUUGAUAGUUGGCGUUACCCAGUCACUGAGAUUACUCAAAAGAGGAGCCCUGGAUCUCACUAACCAGCUUCAGGCAUUUUAUUGGCACCUUUGAUUCCAGAAGCCUGACUCAAAGAAGGUGCCAUGGGCCAGGAUUACUGCUGGGUGUCACCACACAGGAGGUGACAAUAGUACAGAACAAGCACACAGUAAGUCAACAAAGCUCACUACGCUCACACAUUUCCAGACAGUAUCAGUGAACAUGUCUAAUUAUGUUUGCAAACGUGGGGCUUGAGUUUCAUUUCCAGUUUUGGUUCCGAGAUCAUAUUUAUGACAUAAAGGUAUGAUCAGAGCCAUGGAUGCGCCCAGCUGCAAAGGCAACGUCUCUGAAGUGGCAGCAGCUAAAUUUUCUAAAAGAUAAUUCGAUUUUAGUGUUAUGGAGAUAAAAUGGAGACAAUAUUUACAUUAAGUAUUUUAUAUUUUAACUCUGAUUUUUUCACAACAGUAAGGAUAUUAAUAUCACUAAGGAGUGCUUCCCAGUCCAGUCAGUGAAAAUCAGUUUUCCCAAAAGUAUUGAAGCGGCUGUCCUGUGUUUUCCAGGGUUUGUGAGCUGCACCAAUCUAUGAAACUUUAAUUAAAAAUGCUGUUUCUUGUAUUCAUUUCUGGUGCCCUUUGGAAAAGUGCUGUUUUACCUGUGGAGGCGUGCAGGUCCCAUCGUUUGUGCAGUGGAAGGACUCUGUAAUGCCUGGCAGAAUCCUGCACUGUGAUGUUGAGUCAGACAGGAGCUGUGUGUGCACACACAGAGAUGUACCUGGCUGCUCACACUCAGCACCUGCCCCCCAGCUCACACCAAGCACUGUGGCCUCUCUGCAGCAAUUCCAGCCUGAUUUGGUGUCCUCACGCUGACAGUGCUCAGUCAUCCUUCAGGCCCUGAAAGUGUCAGUCAGAAUUCCUAUGGAUAGGAGUUUCAGGGCUGGACUCCAAUCCUGGCAGAUGUCAGCUGUGCAGUUUGGAGUUCCCAGGUUUUCCUCACCUGCAGAGAGGGAACUCGAACAGCCAGAGCCAGGGGUGUGUCUGAGGUCUGUUCUGGAAAAGGUUUCAGCGGCGAUCUCACCAGCCACGUGUUCAGCAGAAGGCCCCCAGGAGCAAGUAUGUGAUAAUUCACCCAGGGUGUUAUUUGUUGUUGCUAAAUGUCAUCAUUUGGCUAAACAGAAACCUCUGAAAAAUCAAGGGUUUGGAUUUGGGGAUUGGUUGGCAAAUAUUUGUAUUCAUCUCUCAAGCUAAACAUGGCAACCCUUUAAAAGUUUCUAUAACAAAACACAACAAGUUCAACUCAUGGGGUGAGAUAGAAUCAACUCAUUUCCUUGGACUCAAACAAUAUUUUUUUAGGCACAACUUGAUGCAGAAUGAGGGAAGAGGGCUCUACAUCACUUAAUACAUUUCAUGCAAAAACACUUCUACAGUGUAAGAAGAGUACUGGUCAAACCAGCAUGAAAUAUGUUCACAGAGAGCAUCAAAAAUUGUGCCAUUUUAAAGGGCAGUGCAGUUUCUUUUUACUAGUGGUUUAUGAUUAUUUUUUUCCCUCAAGAUCAGUUGCAUUUACAUAUUUCAAAAAGAAUGUUCUCCAUCCAACAAACCAUCUAUACCAGCAUAAGCAAAACCAACUGGCUGUGUCAGAUAAAGGAAGCAUUCAUUUUCAGAUGAAUAAGAUACCUGCUUUACAAAGUCUUAGUUUGUUACCCAGGACACUGUAAUUAUGAUGUAAUUACAAAGGUCUAAAUUCAAAAUACUUUUGAACUUGUAUAUGUAAUCUCAGUGUAAAAUAAGGUACCAGUCUAAGAACAUUGCUGUAGCCUUGCCUAACAGUUAUGAAUUGUAUUUAGCCACUGCUUUCUGAUUGUUUAUUGUUUUGCUAUGACUUUCUUUGAAUAUUUUGCUGUGCCCACAUUUGUGAAUGCCAGCGUUGGAAAGAAACUGCUGUCAUACAUUUGGAGAUAUAUAAAUUGUCCUCAGUGGCCUUUCUGUACAUCUAAUUAGCACCUGUUUGAAUUAUUCUACAGGCUAUGGACAUUUCAUUUAAAAAAUAAAUGCAUUGCUAGUUUUUUCAACUCCUUGCAAAUACACAGUUGUAAAAAUUGCUUUUCAGGGGAAUGAAAAAGCACGUUUUCAUACAUCUUCUGGGUUUAUAAGCUAGGCUGGGCUUUUAGGCUAUUGCACCUAAAAUAGUUACUGACAUUUUAAAUGCAGUUAAAAUGGAAGAAGUCUGAUACCACUUUCCCAUAAUUAAGUAUGGUAUCCCAGAUUUGUAGCCUGAUUUAUACAGUAAUGAAAAAGAAAAUCAGUAAGACUUCAAGAAUAUAGAUACAAGUGUCAUUUUAUAUUUCUGUAUACGCAUAUACAGUUCAGAAGUUGAGAACACUGUGUUGAACUUGUGGAAAUUAAGCCAGAUUGCUUCAAUCUUGCAAGGAAGCUUCUAGGUAAAUAGUAAUUUUCUAUUUAAAUGCACAGAAUACUGAGAAAGAUAAUUUGAUCUUUCUAAAAAGAAGAUCUGAACAAACUGUUUACAAUCUCCUCACAUACAAAAUCGAGAAAUCAAAAAUAAAGAUAAUUUCUGGAGGUAUGAAACAUUGGAACAGAUUUUCAGCUCCUAUAAAUCAGUGUAGUUCCUUUGAUUUUAGUUUAAUAAUGUAAAUUUACCCUGACGUAUAUAUCUAGCCCAAGAAUUGGAAUUCCUGCCCAUCUUUUUGCAGAAAAUCAAGAGUAACUGCAGGGAUUACAAAAUUUGCUUAACUUUUGCAUUGCCCCCACCACUGAUGAGACCGUGUCUCGUGUCUGUAACACAGAUCUGGAUGACAUGGGAUGCCCUAAAUCUUCUGGCAUUUUCCCUUUCUAGGGCACAGCAGGGGCCUUUUCCAGAAGCAAUUGGUACUACACCUUGUAGCUGGACUACAGGGAGAUAUUUAUUCUGUGAGUAUCUCCUGGGGUAGAGAUUCUUUCUCAGAGAAGGUUUGCUGAUACAGAUCAAGCUUUGAGGCAGAUCAAGCCUGAUUUUUCUGUUUCAUGUUAAAACAGGAUCCAGGUCUUGAACUGGUCUCAAAAAUGAAGAGAGACUUGUUGGAGAAGACUGAUGGUGUCUUUGAUGUCUUCAGGGAAGCUUACACAGCACAGGGGACAAGCAGCUGUGUUCUGCCUCAGCUGAAGCUUGUGUGUCUUUGCAUUCAGUUUCAGGUAAAAUUAUACAGGAGAUUCCAGAUUAGCAAAAUGACAAAUUCCUGAGUUACUACCACCUGAUGUUUUAUACUAAAGAACUGAAAUUUCUUCCUAAGCAGAAACAAACAUUAUUCUGUAUUAUGCUAAAUAUUCAACCUUGGAAGGAAAUCAAAGCAGGAUGUUAGGCCUCACAAAGACCUCGAACCCCUGAGUGGGGUGUCAAGACUUUACUUGAUGGUCAUGGAAGAGCACCUCUACCCUUUACUUCUGUUUUGAGGCUAGAAAAAACCCUCAGGUUUAUGGCUCACCGCUACAAACCAUGUGUAGGCAAAAGCUGUAGACAAGUCCACAAAGCAGUUGUGCAGCCAGUGGGGGUCUCAUUGAAAAAUGAGAAGGUGCAUUUAAGUGAUUUAUUUGAGCUUUUGCAUUAGGGACGAGCAACAGGGUUGAAACCUCCUCCCAACACACUGCAGCUGCAGAUGGGAGCAGGCUGUUGGAGCAGCAAUACUACAGAAAAUGUUUAUUGUAUCCCACUUAUUCUAUGGAGCCCUGUUGGAAUAAAAAUGGAAGCCAGCACACCAAACCUUGCAAUUUGUGUUGCAUAAUACAGCUACUUGCUGUUCUUUGGUAUCAGAACUAACACAGCAUCAAUGUUUACACUACACUGGGAUAGAGACUCCAGUAAAAUAUGUGCUUUGCCAUUUAGCUUUUAAAUAACUAGUUUAUGGCCUCCUACUCUAUUUUAGUUCAUUUUACUUUACACGAAUUAAUAGGCUGCUCCAUUUGUAUCUUACAUUAGUCGUAUCUUGGGCAUUUUAAGUUCCAAAAUAGAUUGGUUUUGCCUUAAGCUGUAUUCAAACUCUUAAUACAUAUUUCUAUUUCCCAAACACGUGUUUUAUUUGCAGUAUAUCUGCUUAUAUUUUUAUUGCAUAAAUUUGUCAGUUUUCUUCAGUUUGUUUUCAGCAUUCAAUACAAUAAAGGCAAUUUAAAGAUACAGUCUGAAAACAAUGUCUUAAAAGAAGAACAAGGUUACUUUGAAAAGUUAAACAGCGUGCUUUGUAAAAGACAGUGAACUGUGAUUGAGAAUAAAAAUAAAUACUCCACAGCAGGAAAUUGUCAUUGU